rnacentral:rRNA from 1 species
UUGCGCUGGCGGCAGGCCUAACCAUGCAAGUCGAGCGGAUGACGGGAGCUUGCUCCUUGAUUCAGCGGCGGACGGGUGAGUAAUGCCUAGGAAUCUGCCUGGUAGUGGGGGACAACGUUUCGAAAGGAACGCUAAUACCGCAUACGUCCUACGGGAGAAAGCAGGGGACCUUCGGGCCUUGCGCUAUCAGAUGAGCCUAGGUCGGAUUAGCUUGUUGGUGAGGUAAUGGCUCACCAAGGCGACGAUCCGUAACUGGUCUGAGAGGAUGAUCAGUCACACUGGAACUGAGACACGGUCCAGACUCCUACGGGAGGCAGCAGUGGGGAAUAUUGGACAAUGGGCGAAAGCCUGAUCCAGCCAUGCCGCGUGUGUGAAGAAGGUCUUCGGAUUGUAAAGCACUUUAAGUUGGGAGGAAGGGCAGUAAGUUAAUACCUUGCUGUUUUGACGUUACCGACAGAAUAAGCACCGGCUAACUCUGUGCCAGCCGCCGCGUUAAAAUACA